AACGCACCUUGCGCCCCUUGGCUAUUCCGAGGGGCAUGCCUGUUUGAGUAUCAUGAACACCUCAACUCUCAUGGUUCGCCAUGAUGAGCUUGGACUCUGGGGGUUUUGCUGGCCUGCGGUCGGCUCCCCUCAAAUGAAUCAGCCUCCCAGUGUUUGGUGGCAUCACGGGUGUGAUAAAUAUCUACGCUCGCGGUUGUCUGCCAGGUAACCUUUGGUGACAAAGGUUCGCUGGAGCUCACAGAUGUCUCUCCUCGGCGAGGACAGCUUUUUUGAACGUUCGAUCUCAAAUCAGGUAGGACUACCCGCUGAACUUAA
rnacentral:misc_RNA from 1 species